rnacentral:rRNA from 1 species
UGCCAUUCGCCAUCAUGAAAGGUAAAGCCUGCCCAGUGGAAUCUCAACGGCUGCGGUAUCUUGACCGUACUAAGGUAGCAUAAUCACUUGUCCCCUCAUUAGGGACUAGAAUCAAUGGCCAAACGAGAGCUUAACUGUCUCAGCUGUAAAAAUACAAACUUACUUCCAAGUGAAAAGGCUUGGAUAAACCAGGAGGACAAGAAGACCCUAUGGAGCUUUAGAGAAAAAGUCCAUAAAAUCAGUCACUUGUGAAAUGAUCAAAGGACUAAUCACUUUAGUUGGGGCAACUGAAGUACAUAAAAACCACUUCCUCAAGAAAUGCUGAUAAGCAAAACUAUACCNCAAGAAGAUCCUAUAGUAAAGAUCAAGAGAACAAGUUACCCUAGGGAUAACAGCGUAAUCCUCCCAGAGAGCCCUCAUCGAAGGGAGGGGUUGCGACCUCGAUGUUGGACUAGGACAUCCCACAGGUGCAGAAGCUUGUAACGGUGAGCCUGUUCGGCUCUUAAAGUCCUACAU